rnacentral:rRNA from 1 species
UACGUAGGGGGCAAGCGUUGUCCGGAUUUAUUGGGCGUAAAGAGCGUGUAGGCGGUUGGGUAGGUCCGUUGUGAAAACUCGAGGCUCAACCUCGAGACGCCGAUGGAAACCCCCUGACUAGAGUCCGGAAGAGGAGAGUGGAAUUCCUGGUGUAGCGGUGAAAUGCGCAGAUAUCAGGAAGAACACCCGUGGCUAAGGCGGCUCUCUAGUACGGUACUGACGCUGAGACGCGAAAGCGUGGGGAGCGAACAGG